rnacentral:rRNA from 1 species
UACGGAGGGAGCUAGCGUUGUUCGGAACUACUGGGCGUAAAGCGCACGUAGGCGGCUUUUUAAGUCAGGGGUGAAAUCCCGGGGCUCAACCCCGGAACUGCCCUUGAAACUGGAGAGCUAGAAUCUUGGAGAGGCGAGUGGAAUUCCGAGUGUGGAGGUGAAAUUCGUAGAUAUUCGGAAGAACACCAGUGGCGAAGGCGACUCGCUGGACAAGUAUUGACGCUGAGGUGCGAAAGCGUGGGGAGCAAACAGG